CGGGGCGUGGCUCAGCUUGGCUAGAGCGCUUCGUUCGGGACGAAGAGGUCGGUGGUUCAAAUCCACUCGCCCCGACCA
rnacentral:tRNA from 1 species